AAUGGGGCUGGCUGAGCACCGUGGGUCGGCGAGGGCCCGCCAAGGAAGGAGCGACCGACCGAGCCAGGCGCCCUCCGCAGACCUCCGCGCAGCGGCCGCGGGCGCGAGGGGAGGGGUCUGGAGCUCCCUCCGGCUGCCUGUCCCGCACCGGAGCCCGUGGGGUGGGGAGGUGUGCAGCCUGUGACAGACAGGGGCUUAGAGAUGCAAACAGACUCAGGGAGAGAAACAGAAGCUGAUUCUGUGACAGAAGCAGAUCUGUGCAGCACAGAUGCGGUGUGCGUGGGGAGGGGGUCGCCUGGGAGCGCAUUGCGGAGUGCUUGUGUGUGCAGAUUUUUCUCUGGGCUCAGGACACAUUGUAUGUGGGUCAACACCUUCCUCCGUGACUGUGUUUUUGUUCUGAGCUGAGUUUUUUGGUUUGCCCUUAAAAAAAUAAUAAUUUGGCAUCCAGAGACUGGCAGACUGCCUCAGGGCCUGGACUGCGGAUAUAUUGUGUUCUGCUUGAGGUUUGGGGAGGAGGGCAGGCGGUAGGAAGGGAGAGGGGGAGCUGUUUGUCACCCUUUGCUGUAGAGCUGAGAGCACCUGACAAGCUUAAGGAAGUCGUUGGGCUAUGUGGACAAGAAGUAGCCAGCUCCCAGCGGGUUCACAAGCUCUGUCGGAGCUGAAAGCGUGGUCAUGGCUCUAAGGAGCACCUCACGCCCUCCCUGUAGCUGUUAUUGCAGUUUCAGGCAGAGAUCCAGGAGCUGCAGAGGAAGGGAGAGGCACAAUAACCUACAUGGACCCAAGGGAGACAUGUGUUCCUUUAAAAAUGUGAACAGAAGGAAAAACAGAAUGUGUGCAACUGGGGGUCUGAGGAAAGACUGUUUUGAAAGAGGCUGUCAGGGAAUGGAAAGGGUUAAGCUUUUCAUCCUGAAGAACCUGCUUCCCAAAUCAGGCCUUCCUCCCAUCACUAGACCCUGAGCAGCAGCUGGUCCUAGAGACCCCCCUCGUACUGCGCUGCCACAAUCUCACCCCAUUUCCAGCUCUGUAUUAACCACCAAGCUGCAGCGGAUGGGGCAAGACCUAAGCUCAUUAAUUUCCAGGUGGAGGAAAUGGAGGAGGGGCAGGUCCCUGCAGUAGAGGGAGGAGCAGAGAAAGGAGGCCAAGAGCUGGAUCCUUCUGCCCAGGAAGCCUGCUGCAUCCCUUCCCCCGAGCAUGGCAGAGGCCUGGCUUUGCAAGGCCAAGGCCAUAAGGGAUGCUUAGGAGAUUAAUUUGAUUCCUGACACAAUAAUCAAGGCCUAAGAGUCUCCGCUGAAGCUUACUGAGGACUUCUUUCCUCUCCAAAGCCUCAAUCUAGCCUGCUAAAUAAAUUAGUAGUAUUCAGUGAUGCCUUGGAUCAGGGCCCCUCCCCGGCCUCAGUUCCCCCAAAUAUUUAUUAAGUACCUACUAUGUGCAAUCCUUGUGUAAUUAUUACCUCUUAGGCUCUUCAUUUGCCCUCCUAAAGCAGUGUUUAGAGUCAGGCAGAGGUUAAGUGUGUUGCACCUCACCUAGAUACUUCCAGAACCUUCUCUGGGUCUGCAGAAUGUGGCACAACCUGCUUGCCCCCGCAGAGACAAAGCUGCAGUGCACAUCCUGCAGACUGCAGGUGCUGGGCUGCCUCUGGAGUCCCAGAAGGCAAGCUUGGCUGCAGGACAGAAAGGGAGAACAGCUUCUCUCACCCCUGAGCCUUCACAAGCCCUUGUCUAUUUGCCGUUGCCUUCAAAAUAUACCUCCCCUGAAACCAGUAGCUUUCUGAGUCCUGGUGUCCCCUCCGCCCUUUCUGGACAGAUUUGGGAAGAAGAAAGCAGUCAGUGCUGGGCCUUAUUGGGGUGUAAAGCGCCUUGCUCUGCCCCUUCUGCUCACUGUGAAGGCCGCUGGAUGCUUCUCUUAGGCAUGGUUUAAGCCUCCGAUUACUAAACCCCUUGCCCCACAAACGUCCACAUUGACGAGCCUCUUUUUAGUAACUGCUUCCCCGUAAUUCCUUCAGAGGUUGCUGUACCCUUCGCUGAUGUGCCCUCCUGUAAAACCUCCAGAUGCCUUCCCACGUAAUGCCCCUUUCAGAUGCUUUAAGCCUAGAGCUUAAACCACAGGUACCAUGGCUGACGCCUGCCAGGUUUCUGCUGCAAAUAAUCUAUGAUGGGAGGGGCAUAUUUUUUACUUCAUUACUUAUGUAAACUCUUGUUCCAGAAAGCUUUAAUGUGUGUGGGAGUGUUCUGGCUCUAUUAGGUCUGUGUGCAUGGGUGUGGGCAUUUGCCUGUGUCCACCGGGUGGGUCUCAUUGUGAAAUGUAUGUUUAUGUAGGGCUUUAAUGGCUGAAAAUGGCAAAGAGAUGAAUAGACCACUUGGCCCCAUGUGUAAUUGCCAGGCCCCUUCUGUGCUCAAAUGAGGUGUCCGAGUGAAGGUCAGCCCUUCCCUUCUGUAUUUGGGGCCUAUUUAUGCCACCAGUAAUUUUACAAGAAAUCUGAAUAGUUCUCCCCUUUGAGUGCAUUUAACUCUUUAGUAUCUUCUCUCUUACCUAUUUGAGCCCCUCUAGCUACAGUCUGGCUUAAAUGAAAGGGGAAUUAUAUGGUUAAGAAAAAGUAGGACACGGUUGAGGCAGUUUGCUGACUGAAUACGCGAAGAAGGACCUGAUGGGCUCAUAUGCACCACUGCCAUCACAGUCCUCAUCGUGAUGCAAGCUUAUAUGAUUCUUGAGGUAACUCUACCAGAUACUUCCAGAUUUAGAAAUGUGUCAGAGGAAAAAUUGGUGAUACUCUUCUUUCCCCUGCCAGAAACAGCCCAGAUCUCCGCUUAAGCGGAAAAGAGAUUGACCUUCUAGCAGAGGCAAAGGUAAACUCCUGUAAGUUACUUCUGUUACCAAAGGGAGGGGGGCGGCUUUUGUGAAUGUAUGAGGAGCUUUUGCCAGAGAGAUAUUCGGAGGAGGGGUGUGCCCAUAUGCACACAUACAUUUUCCCGCAUAACCGUAUCCAAUGCUAGCAUUUAGAGGAAGGCAUUUAGCCACCAAAAGUCCAUCCAUCGAUGCUGCUUCCACAGAGAAAACAUUUUCUCUUUCCUCCUCUUGAACUUACAUAAUAUCCUCCUCCCAUUCCAACCUUAGAAUGGAGUCUUCUGGGGGCAGCUGCAAAGCGUUCUCCCUAGGACAGAUGGAGCCUCCCUUUCCUCAUCUACUCUGUGGGUGGUUUCAGGGCCCAUGAGUCAACAUGAGGAGUUGUGCUGGUGGUAUGUGUGUUGGAGGCUGGGCUGGCUGAUUCACAGUGACGAGGAUGUCAAUAACAACAAGUAUGAGAAUGAUGGUACCUAAUAAAGACUUUUUUUCCCAA
rnacentral:lncRNA from 1 species